UACGUAGGGCGCAAGCGUUGUCCGGAAUUAUUGGGCGUAAAGAGCUCGUAGGCGGUUUGUCGCGUCGGCUGUGAAAACCCGAGGCUCAACCUCGGGCCUGCAGUCGAUACGGGCAGACUAGAGUGUGGUAGGGGAGACUGGAAUUCCUGGUGUAGCGGUGAAAUGCGCAGAUAUCAGGAGGAACACCGGUGGCGAAGGCGGGUCUCUGGGCCAUAACUGACGCUGAGGAGCGAAAGCGUGGGGAGCGAACAGG
rnacentral:rRNA from 1 species